AUUGAACGCUGGCGGCAUGCUUUACACAUGCAAGUCGAACGGUAACAGCACUUCGGUGGCUGACGAGUGGCGAACGGGUGAGUAAUACAUCGGAACGUGCCUAGUAGUGGGGGAUAACUACUCGAAAGAGUAGCUAAUACCGCAUGAGAUCUAAGGAUGAAAGCCGGGGACCUUCGGGCCUUGCGCUACUAGAGCGGCUGAUGGCAGAUUAGGUAGUUGGUGGGAUAAAAGCUUACCAAGCCGACGAUCUGUAGCUGGUCUGAGAGGACGACCAGCCACACGGGGACUGAGACACGGCCCAGACUCCUACGGGAGGCAGCAGUGGGGAAUUUUGGACAAUGGGCGCAAGCCUGAUCCAGCAAUGCCGCGUGCAGGAUGAAGGCCUUCGGGUUGUAAACUGCUUUUGUACGGAACGAAAAGCCCUCUUCUAAUACAGGAGGGUCAUGACGGUACCGUAAGAAUAAGCACCGGCUAACUACGUG
rnacentral:rRNA from 1 species